UACGAAGGGGGCGAGCGUUGUUCGGAUUUACUGGGCGUAAAGGGCGCGCAGGCGGCGAGUUUUGUCAGGCGUGAAAGCCCCGGGCUCAACCUGGGAAUUGCGCUUGAAACGGGCUUGCUAGAGAUCGGGAGAGGAGAGUGGAAUUCCCAGUGUAGAGGUGAAAUUCGUAGAUAUUGGGAAGAACACCGGUGGCGAAGGCGGCUCUCUGGACCGAUACUGACGCUGAGGCGCGAAAAGCGUGGGGAGCAAACAGGG
rnacentral:rRNA from 1 species